UACGUAGGGGUGCACGUUGUCCGGAAUUAUUGGGCGUAAAGAGCUCGUAGGCGGUCUGUCGCGUCUGCUGUGAAAACGCGAGGCUUAACCUCGCGCCUGCAGUGGGUACGGGCAGACUAGAGUGCGGUAGGGGAGACUGGAAUUCCUGGUGUAGCGGUGGAAUGCGCAGAUAUCAGGAGGAACACCGAUGGCGAAGGCAGGUCUCUGGGCCGUUACUGACGCUGGAGGAGCGGAAAAGCAUGGGGAGCGAACAGG
rnacentral:rRNA from 1 species